CCGCCCGUCACAUCACGAAAGUGGAUUGUACUAGAAGCCUGUCCGCUAACCCGCAAGGGAGGCAGCGGUCCAAGGUAUGAUUCAUGAUUGGGGUG
rnacentral:rRNA from 1 species